UUCAACAAGGUUGGGGUUGAGGUAAAUUGAGUGAUGUAUUGGGUUUUUCAUAAUUUUUAUCCCUUUCAAUUGUUUCUAGAAAUAGGAAAACUAAUUUGACUUAUUUUUCUAUUCUUGUUCCUAGACAUGAAAAUAGGUAUAAAUUUUUAUUUCUGUUUCAAAAAACAAGUGAAAUGAAACGGAAAAAUCAAACGUUUUUUUAGAUAUUUUUUCCGUUUCUAAACACAGAAAAACAAGUUCUGAAAACAAAAUCAAACGGACCAAGUCUUCGUAACUGAAGCAAAACCCUAUUACCCUCUUUCACAACUGCAACGGCCAGAGAUACGAGCUUAUGCAGCGUGAAGGAACUGAAGCAAGAACGCAGAGCCUACUUAUGUUGAUCUGCCGUUGGUGAUCCAAGGUGAAGGUCUCUCUCUCUUGCACGCUCUCCCUACUGAUUUUCUUCUUUGUUUCCAGUUUAUUUCAUUGUUCCAACAGGUAGACGUUUGUUGCAGCCACAGUCUACAAAGACGACGCAGAUCUACCGUCGGCGAGAACCCGAUUACUCUGCAACUGCUUUCUGAGCUCCAAUGCCGGAUUAGGGGGUAAAUAAGCUUCGCUCGUUAACAUAUGGACAGAAUCCAACCUCACUUCUCCACGUCUCACGGUGAAGGCUGGGAGGGCUUGAGUUGCAAUAAGCCUAUCGAAGAAGUAGAGCUCGAUUUCCAAGUACUCAAAACUCACAUCAAUCUUGCGAUUCGGAUUGGAAAAGUUGGCGAGAAAUGUGAAAUCACCGUUUACAAAGUCUGGGGAAUCCAAGUAAACACUAUUGAGGAUCGCACUGGUGGUUUCAAGUAAUGGGUACCUGGGUUUGAUGGCGAGGAAGAUGACCAAGAUGGAUAUUCCGGCGAAGACGAAACAAAUGAUAGCAUAUCACCAGACAAAGGGGUUAGUCCGGCGAGGCCUCUGGAGUAGGGUGGAGUUCCUUGGCUUGCCGGCGGUGAAGUUAAUCGCCGAAGUCACCGGAAGAUGUUGAUUCAAGUUCAAAGCUUGCUUUGACGCGACAAUUUGGUUGAGAGGGCUGGGAUUGUAGCGCCUAUGGGGUGGUGGUGGAAGUAGUUCUGGGGGUUUUGAGGGAAGCAUCUUUGGGUUUUGGAUUUUCCGAGGAAACCCUCGAAACCAAAGAAAAAUGGAGGAUUUGUAACUGAUCAGUGAGCACUGCGAAAAAAAAAAAAGAUCCGGUGCGGAUCCAAAAAUUAAACAAAUUAUUGCAAGAAAAAAGAAGCUUUUGGUGGGAAGGAAUAAGGAAUCAUGAAUCAUGAAUCAUUUACCCCUAAUUGGGUUCUUUCACUCCGUCUUUCAACUUAGUUCAAGGAGGUGAUGUUGAAACUUUUCUGAAUGUGAAUCCUUGAAUAUGUCCUCUUGCAAAAAGUAGCUUCAGUUGGGGAGAAGAGAUUAGAGACGCAAAUACUUGUGAUCUUAAGACUUUAUUCCAUUUCUCAAUGUAUUUGAAACUUGUUAGAAUCAAUAGAACUGCAUAAGUUAAGGAUU